CUUGGUCAUUUAGAGGAAGUAAAAGUCGUAACAAAGUUUCCGUAGGUGAACCUGCGGAAGGAUCAUUAGUGAUUGCCUUUAUAGGCUUAUAACUAUAUCCACUUACACCUGUGAACUGUUCUACUACUUGACGCAAGUCGAGUAUUUUUACAAACAAUGUGUAAUGAACGUCGUUUUAUUAUAACAAAAUAAAACUUUCAACAACGGAUCUCUUGGCUCUCGCAUCGAUGAAGAACGCAGCGAAUUGCGAUAAGUAAUGUGAAUUGCUGAAUUCAGUGAAUCAUCGAAUCUUUGAACGCAGCUUGCGCUCUCUGGUAUUCCGGAGAGCAUGCCUGUCUCAGUGUCAUGAAAUCUCAACCACUAGGGUUUCCUAAUGGAUUGGAUUUGGGCGUCUGCGAUUUCUGAUCGCUCGCCUUAAAAGAGUUAGCAAGUUUGACAUUAAUGUCUGGUGUAAUAAGUUUCACUGGGUCCAUUGUGUUGAAGCGUGCUUCUAAUCGUCCGCAAGGACAAUUACUUUGACUCUGGCCUGAAAUCAGGUAGGACUACCCGCUGAACUUAAGCAUAUCAAUAAGCGGAGGAAAUCAC
rnacentral:rRNA from 1 species